rnacentral:rRNA from 1 species
UACGGAGGAUGCAAGCGUUAUCCGGAAUGAUUGGGCGUAAGGCGUCCGCAGGCGGCUAUGUAAGUCUGCUGUUAAAGAGUGAGGCUCAACCUCAUAAGAGCAGUGGAAACUACAUGGCUAGAGUGCGUUCGGGGCAGAGGGAAUUCCUGGUGUAGCGGUGAAAUGCGUAGAGAUCAGGAAGAACACCGGUGGCGAAAGCGCUCUGCUAGGCCGCAACUGACACUCAUGGACGAAAGCUAGGGGAGCGAAUGGG